GACGUAGGGGGCCAGCGUUGUUCGGAAUUACUGGGCGUAAAGGGUUCGUAGGCGGUGCGGCAAGUUGGGAGUGAAAUCUCUGGGCUUAACCCAGAGGCUGCUUCCAAAACUGCUGUGCUUGAGUGUGGGAGAGGCGCGUGGAAUUGCAGGUGCAGCGGUGAAAUGCGUAGAUAUCUGCAGGAACACCCGUGGCGAAAGCGGCGCGCUGGACCACUACUGACGCUGAGGAACGAAAGCUAGGGGAGCAAACAGG
rnacentral:rRNA from 1 species